AUGAAAAGCUCGUUCAUUUUUCUGAAAUUUGCAUUGCAAAGUAGGGCAACAGCACAAAGUUUAUUAAGGGACAGAAAGUUCUUCCAGACUGUAAUCUGUGUGAAUGUGGGCUGCCUUUUCUAUUUUCAGAACAUGAACAGUCCGUAUUUUCGCCAUGAAGUUCUGGCUUGUGAGACUGGUGAGCUGAAAAACUUCUGGGAAAAGACAAUUGAGAAACAAACUCAACAUUCUGAAGCCGAAAAAGACCGUAAAAAAAGAAGUGCACUGACAAAACUCAGACAAGAAUGGAAAGAAAGGCUGGAGAAAAGACUGAAGAUGCUAGAAGAACAGGAUGAGACUGAAGAAACCCAUAACUGAUCUUCAUGCACAUCUGUGUUUGACAGAAAUAUGGCCAUAAGCUAAAUUGAAAGAUGAAAGUUUGUGUUCAGGCACAGUUCUAAUGUAUGGCUUGUUUUCAUUCAGAAACUUCACUGAAUUUAUGUAGGAAAUACAUGUACUGUAGAUACUGCUUUUUGAGUGUGUCUUUGAAUAUUUGACUUCAUCCUUUGGCUAGCACAGUCACCCUUUAUAUUCCUCUUGAAAGUUUUCUUAGCACUAUAUCAUACUUUCCUAAUUGGUAAUUUAUUGUUGAAAUGAUGGAUUUUAGAUUUGUAAUAUAAUUUGCCCUGUUUUUCAGGCACUUCCAGUGUUAUGUUAUUUUACAGCUUUUCAUCAAUUAUGUAGAGCCACAAAUAAAUUUACUAAAUAAAUAAAACAUCAAUGUUUUGUGAAUUUCUACCACUUUAGAGUCAAGGAAUGUCUAAAUGACAUUCACUUCAAAGAGAGUUAGCACCUCUCCAUAGUUGCCACAGGGCUCAAUACAGCCUUGUUUCUCUUACAGGAUUAACUUUUAGAGUGAUUAUACAUUUCAUAUUUCAUAUAUACACUUAAAAUAUGGGACAUAAAGAUUAUGCAAAUGUCUUGGUCUUGUUAAUCUUACAGUCAUUCCCAUGACUUUAAUGAAUUAGAUUGCAUGGAUUGUCAGGGCCAUCCCAAGCAUUUUGGUGUCUCAGGCAACGGACAAGAUGCUCCUCUGCUUUUCCUUGUACAGAAGUACAGUGGGCAAGCCUGAUAUUUGAAUUUUAUUUGAAACAAGACUCAACUUUGAGAAUUUUAUUAGAGAAUUUGAGAAUGUUAUGAGAGACAAGAGAAAACAACACACCUGAGAGCAGCAAGUAUUUUAGAAGAUGUGGAGCUGGCCACGUGGCAUAUUGAACUCUGUUUCCAACAGAGAAGAGUGUUCAUCUCACUCUGGCUGAGCACUGACCCUCCUAGAGAUAUUUUGCAAGGAGAAACAAGACUGCUUUUGGAGUCUGCUAGAAUGGCUCUUCUCAAAAUUGAGAAUUUUUUUCCAGGGAGAGGCCAUUGGAAACUCAAGAGUUCCACACCUUGAUUCUCUAGGCUUUGAGCCAAUGCACCAGCUGAACUUCUCUCUAUAGAUUUGGGCUGAGGACAGGGCCAGCCUUGUAGAUAUUCUACUUCUUUACACACACUGCUGGAAUCGGCUAUUAUCUGUCUCCCCGCUCUGUCCUGGCUUCCCCCCUACCUCAUCACAUGGGGGAAGCCUGUUUAAGCUGGCUCGACCCAUCUUUCCCAAUGGAAAGACAGGGAACUUUCCAUUGUCAACAGCCAGCAAUUUUUCAGCAGUGGCAAAGGUUUUUUCCAGCUCAGCCAUGGAGCCACCGCAGAAGUACUUCUACGGGCCAUCGGACUCUGUGGACAAACUUGCAAAUACCUGUCAAAGCCGUCAAAAAUAAGCCCAUGUGAAGAGGGCAAUUGUCAAUCUAAUGCAUGAAAAAAUAAGACUACUAUCAGAGUUGGCAAAUAGGUCACUCAUUGUCACAUUGAAGGAAUGACAUUGUCUAGCAUCUUCAAGCAGAAUGCAUGAGCAGCCCCAAUUGAAAUUUUCUGAGAUAAUUAAAAAGUUAUCUGUGAUCUUUGGUCUCUAAUUACCAUUUCAUACAACUGAGCAACACUCAAAACUAAACCAAAAUCUUUUUUGACAUUAGCGGAGCUUCAGCAGCACAGUUGUGCUGGAAGACUGGAAGGAUAUAGGAGUGCAACAGAGUGAAGGCAUGGGGAAGCUUUCCCCGUACACACUUCCAUGACCAGUCAUUAGUUAUUUGUAUUGGGAGCACCUAAACAUCUAGCUGAUGUUUAGCUGCCUGGGGACAAGUCUUCCACAAGGAGUAAAAGUUACCACCUUAUGCAAUGUAAAAAAGGUACGAAUGCUUUAACCCCCAUAUCAGAAUAAGCAAUCAAUAUGGUAUUCAUCAUCUGCCCUGAUGAAUAUGUGCCUGUGAAAAUAUGCCCCAAGAUACAUCUUCCCUUAGCCUUCUCUGACAUUUCCUCAUAUGUA
ensembl:lncRNA